AUUCUUGAGCUGGUGAACUCAGAUUGAAGUUCUGAACAACUUUCAUGAAGGGAUCGAAGCGAGAAAUUGAAGUUUUUACGUCGGAAUUCAAGCUCGCCGGAUUCUGGAAAUUUUCCGGCCACCGACGCUUUCGAUCAAGAUAUCUCAAGUUUUAGAGCUUAGUUUUGAGUGAUUCUUGAACCACUGUGUUCGCCUUGAAGUUCUGAACAACUCUCUAGAAGUAAUCGAAGCCUGAAAUUGAAUUUUUGACGUCGAAAUCAAGCCUUGCCGGAUUCUGCAAAUUUUCGCCGGAUUCUGGAAAUUUUCCGGCCACCUCGACUGUUUUAGGUGAUUGACGGUCUUCCUUGGGUGAGCGGUUUCGGUGUGUAUUGUGUUAAAUUGAAGACGCAGCGGGAAUAUCGAGCGGGUAAUCCUGCAGGUCAGGAGAAUCAGGGCGGUGAUCGUACGGGUUAGAGUAUUUGUCAUAGAUUUACAGCAAUUGUAAUAGUGAGAUGAGUUAAGCUCAUUUGAGCCUUACAAUUUGAUUUGGUGAGAGUGUGUUGUAAUAAAUAAAUUGAGGAUUUGGUUUAUUGUAAUAUUGAGAGGUGUGAAGUGUGGUUGUUUGUGAGAA